GGCCAUGGCUCAGUGAUAGAGCAUCCUCUUGGCAUCCUGAAGGUCCCAGGUUCAAUCCCCGGCAUCUCCA
rnacentral:tRNA from 1 species